AGCUUAUUUAUUAAUGAUACUAUAACAUGAUGUGAAAAAAAUGUUUAAUAUAUGUAAUGCAAGAAUUUAUAAUCAUCUGGUACACAUGAAAUACAAUUAAUCUUUCACUUUCAUAUUCAAAUGAGCCUCUACUAAUGUCUCAAGUUCACAUGCAUUGAUUUUCCUCAAUAAAGUUAUAAAUUCAUCGGAAAAGGGCAAUUUUUCGAUAGAAGAAUGUAAAUAAAAAUAAUUACUUUAACCCAUGGUGUUUCGGAUAUUCAAUUGAUUAUUUCUUCAUGAUUUUGGAAGAUGCCAAAAAUUACGGUAGAAAAAAAAAA
rnacentral:lncRNA from 1 species